rnacentral:rRNA from 1 species
UGGGGAAUAUUGGGCAAUGGGCGCAAGCCUGACCCAGCAACGCCGCGUGAAGGAAGAAGGCUUUCGGGUUGUAAACUUCUUUUGUCAGGGACGAGCAGAAGACGGUACCUGACGAAUAAGCCACGGCUAACUACGUGCCAGCAGCCGCGGUAAUACGUAGGUGGCAAGCGUUGUCCGGAUUUACUGGGUGUAAAGGGCGUGUAGCCGGGAGGGCAAGUCAGAUGUGAAAUCCACGGGCUUAACUCGUGAACUGCAUUUGAAACUGUUCUUCUUGAGUAUCGGAGAGGCAAUCGGAAUUCCUAGUGUAGCGGUGAAAUGCGUAGAUAUUAGGAGGAACACCAGUGGCGAAGGCGGAUUGCUGGACGACAACUGACGGUGAGGCGCGAAAGCGUGGGGAGCAAACAGG